rnacentral:rRNA from 9 species
CAACAACGGAUCUCUUGGUUCUGGCAUCGAUGAAGAACGCAGCGAAAUGCGAUAAGUAAUGUGAAUUGCAGAAUUCAGUGAAUCAUCGAAUCUUUGAACGCACAUUGCGCCCUUUGGUAUUCCGAAGGGCAUGCCUGUUCGAGCGUC